GAGUUUUAAAUGAUCACAGGAAGUUACUCGUCCACCUUGGACAGACUGUACGCAUGGGAAAUGAAGCUCUAUGCUGAAGUGAAGAGAAAACCAUUGAAGGUACUGCUGCGUAUUCAGGAGACGUUAUACCCAUUGUGCAGCUUCAGGAUAUGAACAUUGUGCAAUAAACAACGCAGGUUGUUGGAAGCAGACUCGUGAUGGAAAGACAUACUCUGCCUGUGAUGCAAACGACAAAGUUGGAGGAAGAUUUAUAUAGUUC